CUACGGGGUGCAGCAGUGAGGAAUAUUGGGCAAUGGAGGCAACUCUGACCCAGCCAUGCCGCGUGCAGGAAGACGGCCCUCUGGGUUGUAAACUGCUUUUGUUUGGGAAUAAACCCUUCUACGUGUAGAAGGCUGAAGGUACCUUACGAAUAAGGAUCGGCUAACUCCGUGCCAGCAGCCGCGGUAAUACGGAGGAUCCAAGCGUUAUCCGGAUUUAUUGGGUUUAAAGGGUCCGUAGGCGGAUCUUUAAGUCAGUGGUGAAAGCCCACAGCUCAACUGUGGAACUGCCAUUGAUACUGGAGAUCUUGAGUGCAGUAGAAGUAGGCGGAAUAGGGCAUGUAGCGGUGAAAUGCAUAGAUAUGCCCUAGAACACCGAUUGCGAAGGCAGCUUACUAUGUUACAACUGACGCUGAGGGACGAAAGCGUGGGGAGCAAACAGGAUUAGAUACCCCCGUAGUC
rnacentral:rRNA from 1 species